UGUGGGAUAGUUCAGUUUGGUAGAACACUUGACUGUUAAUCAAGGUGUUGGCGGUUCAAUCCCGUCUCCCACAG
rnacentral:tRNA from 2 species